GGACGGAGGAGCAAACAUGCCUUUGCUACCCCUCGUGUGGUGUGUGCUCCAUUGUAAUUGGAAAUAAGUGUCAUGAAAAGCCACACAACUCAGGAGGUUGAUGUGUUUGGGCCUUGAGGAAAGUCCUCAAAUAUGCCCCCGACCGCCGUGGUGGAGGACGACGCAAAAUCUGGCCCAUCACAGAACUCUUCAAGAUGGCCCUUAUAUGGAGGAUGAUGCUGACAGUUCUACCCAGAUGCGGAGAAAGUGUGAGGCAGAACUGAGAAGGUGUAAAGGAGAGGUGUCAGUUGUCAGCAUACUACCCUGUGGUGCUUAAGGACACAAGAAAAUGGUAUCCUCUCCGUCGAUUCACAAAAUCUGUGAAAAUACCUUCCUUCAGUCUUCUCUGUUCUUUUCUAAUCACUCUUCAAAUGGUCUGAUAGCUCAUGCUUUGGUCUAUCAAAAUGUAUACAUCAAAUGUUGUUAAUAUUGAGACAAAUCAUUUUAAAAAGUAGAGAUUGUCCUAGUCUUUCUAUGCAUGUAAUGUCUGUGGGUGAAUUAUGAAACAAAUGUAUGAGGAUGUGAAAAAAAUUGUUGUGUGGAUUUGUUUUGCAAUUGCUUGAUCUAUUUAAAAAGGUAAGAAAUAAUAUGUUGCAGAUUAACUGAAUUUGGUGACUAUGGAAACAGAAAUGCAAUGAACAAUGUUUUCAAUAUCCAACUUCAUCCUCUGCAAUACUUUAUACAGUACACUCUUAGAAAAAAAUGUGCUAUCUAGAACCUAAAAUGGUUAUUCGGCUGUCCCCAUAGGAGAACCCUGUUUGGUUUGAGGUCGAACCCUUUUGGGUUUUAUGUAGGACCCUUUCUACGUGGAACCAAAACGUAUUUUCCUUGGAACCAAACAUGGUUAUUCUAUGGAGACAGCAGAAGAAACCUUUUGGAACCCUUUUUUCUAAAAGUGCAAGUAAUAAUCUGUAGUCAGGUGGUCAAUAACAGGUUAUGAUGAGGUCUUAACUAUGACUAGUAGGCUACAUAAUAUAGUGGUCAGAAUUAUGACCAGCAGGUCAGAUAAAGGUCACAAUUAUUAUGGCGGUCAGAAAAAGACGGCAUAUUCUGGUCAGUAAUAAUAAGUAAAAUAAAAAAGUAAUUUCCCAACCAGAAUAAGACAUCAUAAAAAUACAUCAUACUGACAUACAUACUGUCUUUUAAACCAGGUUUUGCCCACUUGGUUCUUACAGCCUACUUCAUACAAGUA